rnacentral:rRNA from 1 species
UACGGAGGGUGCGAGCGUUGUCCGGAAUCACUGGGCGUAAAGGGCGCGUAGGCGGCGCGGGGAGUCAACGGUGAAAGCUCGGCGCUCAACGCCGAGUCGGCCGUCGAUACUCCCGUGCUCGAGCACUGUAGAGGCAGGUGGAAUUCCGGGUGUAGCGGUGGAAUGCGUAGAGAUCCGGAAGAACACCGGUGGCGAAGGCGGGUCUCUGGGCAGUAACUGACGCUGAGGAGCGAAAGCGUGGGGAGCGAACAGG